rnacentral:tRNA from 1 species
GUUUUUAUAGUGUAAUAAACACACCAUAUUUUCAUUGUGGAACUAAAGGUUCUAGUCCUUUUAAAAAUG